UACGUAGGUGGCAAGCGUUGUCCGGAAUUAUUGGGCGUAAAGCGCGCGCAGGUGGCUAUGUAAGUCUGAUGUUAAAGCCCGAGGCUCAACCUCGGUUCGCAUUGGAAACUGUGUAGCUUGAGUGCAGGAGAGGGAAGUGGUAUUCCACGUGUAGCGGUGAAAUGCGUAGAGAUGUGGAGGAACACCAGUGGCGAAGGCGACUUUCUGGCCUGUAACUGACACUGAGGCGCGAAAGCGUGGGGAGCAAACAGG
rnacentral:rRNA from 1 species